rnacentral:hammerhead_ribozyme from 1 species
AUUCUGAUGACGAGUUCCAAACAGGACGAAACACGCGUCCUGGAU